rnacentral:snRNA from 1 species
GUGGUCGCUUUGGCAGCACAAGUACUAAAAUUGGAACGAUACAGAGAUUAGCAUGGCCCCUGCGCAAGGAUGACACGCAAAUUCAUGAAGCGUUCCAUAUUAAA